rnacentral:rRNA from 1 species
GCUAAGAAUAUUCCGCAAUGGACGAAAGUCUGACGGAGCGACGCCGCGUGAGUGAUGAAGGCCCUUGGGUCGUAAAGCUCUGUCAUCAGGGACGAACGGUCACGUCAGGAAAUGGGCGUGAAUUGACGGUACCUGAGAAGGAAGCCACGGCUAACUACGUGCCAGCAGCCGCGGUAAUACGUAGGUGGCGAGCGUUGUCCGGAAUUAUUGGGCGUAAAGCGCGCGCAGGUGGGAUCUUAAGUCUGUUCUGAAAGUUCGGAGCUUAACUCCGUGAUGGGAUGGAAACUGGGAUUCUUGAGUAUCGGAGAGGAAAGCGGAAUUCCCCGUGUAGCGGUGAAAUGCGUAGAUAUGGGGAGGAACACCAGUGGCGAAGGCGGCUUUCUGGACGAUGUCUGACACUGAGGCGCGAAAGCCAGGGGGAGCGAACGGGAUUAGAAACCCCAGUAGUCC